rnacentral:rRNA from 1 species
ACUCCUACGGGAGGCAGCAGUGGGGAAUAUUGCACAAUGGGCGCAAGCCUGAUGCAGCCAUGCCGCGUGUAUGAAGAAGGCCUUCGGGUUGUAAAGUACUUUCAGCAGUGAGGAAGGUGGUGUCGUUAAUAGCGGCAUCAUUUGACGUUAGCUGCAGAAGAAGCACCGGCUAACUCCGUGCCAGCAGCCGCGGUAAUACGGAGGGUGCGAGCGUUAAUCGGAAUUACUGGGCGUAAAGCGCAUGCAGGUGGUUUGUUAAGUCAGAUGUGAAAGCCCGGGGCUCAACCUCGGAAUUGCAUUUGAAACUGGCAGACUAGAGUACUGUAGAGGGGGGUAGAAUUUCAGGUGUAGCGGUGAAAUGCGUAGAGAUCUGAAGGAAUACCAGUGGCGAAGGCGGCCCCCUGGACAAAGACUGACGCUCAGAUGCGAAAGCGUGGGGAGCAAACAGGAUUAGAUACCCUGGUAGGAAAGCG